GUGUUGUAUGAAAGGAGAGAAGGUUAGCACUAUCCCCUUGACCAGGAUGGAAGAGGCCCUCGGGCCUGACAACACGUAUUCAGAAAUGAGAGAGCAGUCAAAUGAGAGUGU
rnacentral:ncRNA from 1 species